AGGAGCCCAGGUCCGGGUGUGCUCAGGCCCAGGUCGGCAGUGAGGGUGGUCAGGAGCGAUGGAGGCGGCCAGGCCCCACCCCCGGCAGCUGCUGCGCCGAGGCCGGGGGCGUGGACAACACUGACCCUCGCUUUGUUUUCCAGGUGGCAGUGCUCCCCUUGGACUUGCCCUCUAGGUUCGGUGCUAGCCGCUCCUGUGAGCUCGCUCUGCCCCUCCUCCUCCCUUUGCCUCUCUCGAGCUUUCCCUUCACUUAAAACCUUGCUUCUGGUGACCUGGUAAGCCCGGGCAGGUGCCGAGGUCCUGCUGGAGUCGGUAUUGCUGGUAACCUCGACGGAGAGGCUGUCCCUGCCGAGACGGGUGGGGCGGGCUGGUGUUGGCCGGUGGAGAGGGCGGGAUUGAACGGGCACCCGGGGCUGGGCCCGCAGCGAUGGGACCAGCUGGGAAUCCCUCAUGGACCGUGGUUUGUUACCAUAGUGUUCGUCACGGCGACCAGAUGGCACCAGCAGACAUGGAGCCCCUGGCCAGUGUGAGUCGUAGCAGAGGAGAGAGCUCGCCUAAGUUGAUGGCUGCAGAUUGAAUUUCCAGAGUCUUAGGAGGAAGUUCUCCAAUGGCAUGUUUCCAGGCCUUGCUCAGGAAGCCCUGUGUUCAGGAGCCCAUCAGUUAAGGUUUCAGAUGAGCUUCUGAGGGGGGCAAUCUUAAAGUCCAAAUCAGAUGCAUCCGGGCCACCAGCAGAGGCGUUUAUUUGAAUCUUGAUCUUGGAGCACCAACCUCCGGGCCCAUGAAUGCCAGCAGGCACCCCUCCUUUUUUUGGGUGGAGGUUUUCAGAUGCUGCAUCUUCUGUAUUGAGCCUCCUGUCAUGCUAGUUCUCUGCUACGAACCUUGCUU